CCCCAAAGUACCUUUUAACAACACUUUCCAACCACCAGAAAUUUACUUGAGAAUUAAAAGCAUUAGACAGGUAUCGUGAUGCUAUUUUUAACAAUGACAAUUUGGAUAAAAAGAGUCAAAACCAAAAUAUUUAAUCUAACCAACUCUUGAUUCUAGAUAAAAAGCAUAGGAACAGGGAUUUUAAUGAAAGAGAUUACAUAUGAUAUGAUCAAGCAUCGCCUCCCAAUUUUCCUUAGAUUAUCUUUAACCAAGAUGCUAAUCUAGAUGCUCCCUCUCCAUCUCACUUCUCCUGAUUUGCUUCCUUUGGGGGAAAAAAGUUAAAACUAAAGUGUCAAGAGGUGCUAUUUUCAAAAGAUCUGGGAAAAGGCAAAAAAGCUAGAAGGAAUGAUUUAUUUUUGCCCAAAAUCAACCAACAAGGCACUAAUUUAACUUGAGAACACUGUCCUAGUAAAGCAACUAUCCUCCAAAUUCCAAAGGACUCUAUAUCCUAAGCAACCCAUGAAACCAUAUUGCUCUCAUUUUCACAGGUUUAAGAAUAUGCACCUCACUCUUCAAAUAUUAUGGCCACUAUCUUUAGAUAAUUGUUUUUAUAGGAACAUCAUUCUUCAGAAUCACUAGAAGAGCAUGUACUAAAAAAGUAACAAUGUUUCAGUGGGAAAAUACUUUCCAUGUUAAUAACCAGCUAAACCUUAAUGAGAGAGUAACUUUUUUUAGCAAAGAAACAAUAAAAAGCAAAAAAUAGAAUUAAUAGGUAUCAUUUUGUAAAUAUGCAUACUUCCUGAGUUCUUGGUAUUUGGACAAGACAUAUACUCUG
rnacentral:lncRNA from 1 species